GACAGAGGGUGCGAACGUUGCUCGGAAUUACUGGGCGUAAAGCGCGUGUAGGCGGUUACGCAAGUCGGGUGUGAAAUCCCGGGGCUCAACCCCGUGACUGCAUUCGAUACUGUCAGGCUAGAGGUAGGUAGGGGAGAUCGGAAUUCCUGGUGUAGCGGUGAAAUGCGUAGAUAUCGAGAGGAACACCUGCGGCGAAGGCGGGUUGCUGGGCUGACACUGACGCUGAAGCGCGAAAGCUAGGGGAGCGAACGGG
rnacentral:rRNA from 1 species